rnacentral:tRNA from 1 species
GGGGGCGUGGCGAAAUUGGUAGACGCACUGGAUUUAGGUUCCAGCGCCGCAAGGUGUAAGAGUUCGAGUCUCUUCGCCCUCACCA